CUCAUUCUUUGGCUCAGAUUCCGCAAUAUGAGUCUUUUUUGUCCGACUUGAGUACAGUGAAAGAAAGACUCGAGUUCUCUGCUGGACUCGCCCCAACACUAGUCUCACUUCAAUCCUCAAACGGGGUUCAAUCAUGGUUCGCCAUCGUAGUGUAAAGUCGGCCUUAGCCGCUCUUGCACUUUUUCUGACCCGGGGGUUUCACGAGUAAUUUACAUAUGUAGCAAUCCAGAACCAUUCGUUUAAACUCUCGUUUGGGAUAUUUGACAGAACUUAGGUUGGAAGGAAUGGCUUCCAUUGAUAUUGGAAAAUCGUAGAAAAUAAAUACGUCGGAAUACAGAGAAUGCAUUCGAAAGUAUUUUGAAAUUGAGGAAUAAUUGGAGUCAAUUUCCGUUAGGGCUACUCAUCUUUACGUUUUUGCAUUAUUCUGAAAUCAGAGACUGGCACCAUAAAACCCGAUCAACUCAAGUAAUUACUAGAGUUGUAUGAGGCAGACACCAUUUUGAUUUAUGCUACAAGAAAGGUAUGUGAGCUUACUUAAUUUGAGGUCUUGAGAAUGCGCAAUACAUUUUAAUUACAUUUUGUCAAUUGUCCGUGUGCCUUGAUUACAGAUGGGAUACUGCUGGACAAGAAAGGUUUCGUUGCAUCGCUAGGUCAUACUAUAGAGAUGCUAAUGUGAUUUGUUUGGUCUUUGACCUCACCAACGACAAAUCAUUGGAGAACGUCAGUGAUUGGCUCGAAGACGCUUUGGUUUCCAACCAAUCCUGCAACAUAACUUUUCCACCCUUGAUAUUUCUGGUGGGAACCAAAAAGGACCUUCUACCGCCCUUCACUCUUUUGAGCAAGAUUCAAUGUGCCAAAUGGAAGGCUGACGAGAUCAAGGCUGAAUUGUGGAUUCUUUCCAACAAGGUUAAUUACGUUGAAGGAAUGAAUGCUGUGGACUUUUUCUGUCGCUUGGCCGCAUUAACCUUCGAAUCUCAAAUGUUGAAACUGAUGGUUUCUGAUGUGGAACCAAUUGGUUCCAUUGGUACAAUAAGCUCAGAUGACCUGAAGUGGAAGGGGAAAAGAAACCACCUAAUGAGAAUAAAAAGCUGCUCUUCGACCAAAUGCGGAUGAGGUCCGAACUUGAAAAAUGGAUUUGAUCUUAAACAUUGUGUACAGUGGAACCCGUUUAUAUUGUCGCUCUCAGGACCAAGCCCAAUUGACGAUGUAUCCGAAUUUUCUCUAUUAGGUGCAUAACGACGUCAAAUACGCAAAUGAAUCUUAAAAUUCGAGUGCUGAAACGAUAUACGUAUAACUCAAUAGAGGCUGCAAUUCUUGAAACUCUAUUUUGAUUUCCAAGGAAACUAUCAAGGAUACUUUGGUUCAAUGUCUUAACCACUGAUUUUUUUAACUUCCUUUUGAGUGAGCCUCUUCUAACCAAUGACAUUGCAGUGUCAAUUUCUUGGGUUGUAGGAGGUUCCCGAGCUGUCUACAACGGUAUCUUUGGAAAAUCACCUUGGGCUUUUUAAAAUAGCUUCCUUCGUUUGAUUGAAAUAUUGUUUUGUUUUGGAGGCAUAUUAAAUUCCUGACCAAGGUGAAUUCUGUUUUUGUUUUUUGUUUUCAAGAUCGAAUUGAAAAGACCAGUUAAUCUUUUUCAAAAGUUAAUGUAACAAGCUAAUUCAGCCUUGGUGUGUAAUCAGAAAUGAAAGUUUUUAGAACCAAAACCCAUAUAAACCCAUUAUAAGCGGAGACGAUAUUAGCGGGUUCCACUGCACUUAUAUAGGAAAUAAGUAGGUCCUCCCU